AGAGUUUGAUCCUGGCUCAGAACGAACGUUAGCGGCGCGCCUAACACAUGCAAGUCGCACGAGAAAGGGCUUCGGCCCCGGUACAGUGGCGCACGGGUGAGUAACACGUGGGUAAUGUUUCCUCGGGCGGGGGAUAACCUUCCGAAAGGAGGGCUAAUACCGCAUAAGACCACGGCUUCGAAAGAGGCUGAGGUCAAAGC
rnacentral:rRNA from 1 species